CAGCCGCCGCGGUAAUACGUAGGUGGCAAGCGUUGUCCGGAAUUAUUGGGCGUAAAGGGCUCGCAGGCGGUUUCUUAAGUCUGAUGUGAAAGCCCCCGGCUCAACCGGGGAGGGUCAUUGGAAACUGGGAAACUUGAGUGCAGAAGAGGAGAGUGGAAUUCCACGUGUAGCGGUGAAAUGCGUAGAGAUGUGGAGGAACACCAGUGGCGAAGGCGACUCUCUGGUCUGUAACUGACGUUGAGGAGCGAAAGCGUGGGGAGCGAACAGGAUUAGAGACCCCAGUAGUCCCUGUCUCUUAUAC
rnacentral:rRNA from 1 species